GGCGUUGUGGCGGAGUGGUUAUCGCGACAGACUUGAAAUCUGUUUCCCUUGGGAGCGUAGGUUCGAAUCCUGCCAACGUCG
rfam:Ascochyta rabiei strain ArDII scaffold_210, whole genome shotgun sequence.